UUGCUGGUAAACACACUCCUGUGAACUUCAGUGUGGCUCCCCGCACACGCCCAUGGCGGUGGGUGACCCUCCGCCGGUCUUCUCGAGGACCCAGGGAGCUGUUCAGUUAACGGACAGGCUGAGUUUUCACAGGGAAAAUUCCUUUCGUUUUCGGAACAUGAAGCACAUCGUUGGUCCACAGCCAGCUCAGGAAGCUCAGGCUUCCAGCUGAGCCGAGAAGCAUUUGAGGUGGCGCAGGAGAUGAGGAGCAUCUUCUAACUGCACCGUUGGUGAAUCGGGGUGUUUUUAAGAUUUACCUAUUGUUCAUAGAGAUGUAUUUCUCUCCCAUUCAAUAUGCUAUUCAACUUUCACAAUAAACCCAGGGGUUAUUUUACAUAUGGGGAAACUGUGGCUGACAUUUUUAGGACCAUUUUCUCUAAAGUAACGUCUUCUGGUUCUGAUCUACUUGAGAUUUUCAUUCUCUAGCAUUGCAAAAACACAGUAACUUAUUCUCUUGCUUGGGAAGUUAGUACCUCAGGGAGAAAAAUCACCUGUGUCUGGGUUCUUUAUAUUUAACCAGUGAAACAAAUUUGUAUGUAGUAGGUCAGUGUAAAAAAUGAAUGUCAGAUUGUUGCUUUUUUGGAACCCAUUAUACAAUGCUAAGUUUAUUUUGUUUGUUUUUGUUUUUUAACGAAUUUACUUUGUCUUAGAAAUGUUAAUAAGGCUAUAGACCACCAUUAAGAAGAAACAGUUUUGGGUAUUUGGAUAUGUGAACAGGCCCAAAUCCUAGGCCAGCAGGAGCUCCCUCCCGUCUUUCCUUCAAUAUUUUCAGAUGGAGAGGGGAAAAAAUGUUUUUGAGCAUCAGAUAUAAGGAGGAUGUCAUUUUCCGCCUCAGCUACAGGAAAGAUGACACUGAGAUGCCGCUGGCUGCCCUCAGGCUUGGUGCAGUUCAUAGUCUGUGCCCGGUGGCCUCGUCCCUGGGCUCAGGUUAGGGAAACAGAGGUCGCCCUCUGGUGGGGUCACGGGGCACAACCUGACCUCAGAUUGGCAGCAGAGCUGUGCCAGACAGAGCAGUAGAAAACAUGUAAGAGUGUGAGAGAAAUUUUCCUUUCCUAAACUCUUCCUCAGCCCACAAGCCAGUGUUAAAAGGAUCGAACUGAAAACUGGGAGACCUAGGUUUUAGUUCUGCCCUUUUCUGUCACUUUAGUGACAUUAUUUGAGCUUUCUGGGCCUCAAUAACCUCAUGAGCAGUAUGGAUAAAAGGUCAUCUGAUAGUUGCCCUCAACGUUCUGAGUUUGCGUCACAAACUUACGUACAUCCACAAAGCCUCAGCACUUCACAGUUUAAAGAUUUUUCCAUCCAUUAGCUCAUCGGAUUUUUCCAAACUCUGAAUGAAGAAGUGAAGGUGUGAAGGUAUUAAAAGUGAGUAUUUCAGUGCUAUAUUUAAUUGUGAGGUCAUAAUUACAUCUCGUCACUAACAUGUUAAGGCCUAUGUUUGAAGUCCUCUGCAGGAAUUAACUCAUUUAUCCUCAUAGCAAGCUUUUUUAUUUCCUUUAUCUUUUUUCCCUUUUAACCUUUUAUUUCGAUAUAAUUUCAGACUCACUGAAAAACUGCAUAAAUAACACAUCUGUCCAGAUUCCCCAAAUAUCAACACUUCCUGUGUUUGCUUCAUCCUCCCAAGCCCUUACUGCUCUCUAUGUUUUUCUCUGAAUUGUUGCAUACACCAUGCCCCUCUACCCCCAAUACUCAUUUCACUUCCCAAGAACGGGGACUUUCUCCUAUGUGACUGCAGUACCGUGAUCAUGAUUGGGAUAAUAGCAUCGACACAAGACCAUGAUUGUAUCUCAAAACUAUUACCUCAGAGUUAUUAAAAUUUCACCAAUUGUUCCACUGUUGUUCUCUAUAGCAAAAAAAUUAAAAAAUAAAAGCCAUUCUGUCCAGGAUCCAAUCCAGGCAGGAUCAUCUGAUAUA